rnacentral:rRNA from 1 species
AUACGGAGGGGGCUAGCGUUGUUCGGAAUUACUGGGCGUAAAGCGUACGGAGGCGGACUGAUCAGUUGGGGGUGAAAUCCCAGGGCUUAACCCUGGAACUGCCUUCAAUACUGUCAGUCUUGAGAUUGGAAGAGGUGAGUGGAAUUCCUAGUGUAGAGGUGAAAUUCAUAGAUAUUAGGAGGAACACCAGUGGCGAAGGCGGCUCACUGGUCCGAUACUGACGCUGAGGUACGAAAGCGUGGGGAGCAAACAGGAUUAGAAACCCUAGUAGUCC